UACAGAGGUCCCAAGCGUUGUUCGGAUUCACUUGGCGUAAAGGGUGCGUAGGCGGUCGGGUAAGUCUGAUGUGAAAUCUCGAAGCCUAACUUCGAAACUGCAUUGGAUACUAUUCGGCUAGAGGAAUGGAGGGGGGACUGGAAUGCUCGGUGUAGCAGUGAAAUGCGUAGAUAUCGAGCGGAACACCAGUGGCGAAGGCGAGUCUCUGGACAUUUCCUGACGCUGAGGCACGAAAGCCAGGGGAGCAAACGGG
rnacentral:rRNA from 1 species